GACGAACGCUGGCGGCGUGCUUAACACAUGCAGGUCGAACGGGUCUUGUCCCCUUUUUUUUUGGGGGUGGGGUUAGUGGCGAACGGGUGAGUAACACGUGAGUAACCUGCCCCUCACUUCUGGAUAACCGCUUGAAAGGGUGGCUAAUACGGGGUGUUCUGGCCUGCUCGCAUGGGUGGGUUUGGAAAGAUUCGACCGGUUUUGGUUGUUUUGGUGGGGGAUGGGCUCGCGGCCUAUCAGCUUGUUGGUGGGGGGAUUGCCUGCCAAGGCUUUGCCGGGUAGCCGGCCUGAGAGGGUGGGCGGGCACACUGGGACUGAGACACGGCCCAGACUCCUACGAGGGGCAGCAGUGGGGAAUAUUGCACAAUGGGCGCAAGCCUGAUGCAGCGACGCCGCGUGAGGGAUGGAGGCCUUCGGGUUGUGAACCUCUUUCGCCAGUGAAGAAGGUCCUGCUCUUUGUGGUGGGGUUGACGGUAGCUGGGUUAAUGAAGCGCCGGCUAACUACGUG
rnacentral:rRNA from 1 species